UACAGGGGAGGCAAGCGUUGUUCGGAAUUACUGGGCGUAAAGGGCUCGUAGGCGGCCAACUAAGUCCGACGUGAAAUCCCCAAGCUUAACUUGGGAACUGCGUCGGAUACUGGAUGGCUUGAGUAUGGGAGAGGGAUGUAGAAUUCCAGGUGUAGCGGUGAAAUGCGUAGAUAUCUGGAGGAAUACCGGUGGCGAAGGCGGCAUCCUGGACCAUUACUGACGCUGAGGCGCGAAAGCUAGGGGAGCAAACGGG
rnacentral:rRNA from 1 species